GCCAAUAUAACGGUGACCUCCACAAAUGAUUUCCCCAGCAGGACUGCCAUCUCUAGAGGUGCUGCCCCAUUACCUGAGGGUAUCCGUGAGCUUUCCGGACAGACGAUUAGUGGCAUUAGUCUCGUGGCACGGCGGAUCUCACACAGGCUCAGGGAUAUCAGAGUAGUUUCCUGCACGGCUUAAUGAGGUUUUCCCACUCAUCUUCUUCUGGGGCAGCAGACUGUAAGCCCCGACACGAGGUCCAGGCCCUCCAGUAUCCCAUCACCCCCUGCGACUAUCCAAGCUGUCACGGCAGGCUGGGCCGCGGGCGUCUGUGCCAGGGCGCGGCAGGACCGGAUCCGGCUCCUCCUCCUCCUCCAAGCUGCCCGUAUGCGAAGCUCUUCCGUUAGCCGGAAGGUUGCUUCAGUGAGGACAGAUAUCUUGAGACCAAACGAUAGGAGGACAGGACCAGAAGAUAACACAAGCUGGACUCAGAUUCACCACGCCACGUCUCCACCUGAGCUCUGUAUUAAUGCACCAAGUUGCUUCAACCCUUUACAACACCACAAACAGCCAGCAGGUAAAUGAUGAACUAUGCUUUCAGUUUUUGCCAAGAAUUAGCAUUGCUCAUUG
rnacentral:lncRNA from 1 species